AUUUAUGAUACAGGAAUGUUUUAAUCAAUGAAUUUUCUAUUCCCUUUGUACUAUUUGUAUGUAGGUAUCCUGAGGCUCUUAUAUUUUUUAUUGCAUAAUUACAAGUUGUUUUCCUAUCUACUCACAUCUCAGGCCUUCAGGAAAAGAAAUUACAAGAAUCAAGUCUGACCACUGUUUAUCAAAACUUCUAAGUCAUAGUUUCUUUCCCAGUACCCUAUGACUCAGGUUAUAUAUAUAUUCUAUGCUGAAGGAUGUUAACCUUUAAUCAAUCUGUUUUUUGAACACAUACAAGAAUACCUUGCAUUAUUUUCCUUUCACUUGUUUUGAAGAACCUCUUGCCUUUCCUCUUUCACCUCUUUGAUCUAAUGUGAUUUCUAGCACAGUUCUUAAACUCAAUAACUCAGCAUUAGAUUACUUAUACUUUUUCAUCCUUUCUUUAUCCUAGGUUUGUUGUUGUUGUUGUAGUUGUUUGUUUUGUUUUUGCUAGACUCCACACAUGCACUGCAGAAUGGUUUUGAUGCACCUGCAUUUUAAAACAACAUUGUAUAUCUUUGCAAACUUUGUGGAAGUGUAUGAUUGGGAUUCUGGAGAUAAAAUCAUCAGCGAUUCUAGCUUGGGGCCAAACAUGAUUCUAAAAAACAACUCUGGCUUGAUGAUGGAUAUAUGGUACUGAUGUCCAAAAUGAAAUAAACUAUACUAUGCAUAUAAUGUGCAUAUUAGUUUAUUACCCUCUAUUAUUCAAACAUUUCUAACUAUCCUGCAAAAGGCUGGUACUGAAGUUUAUUAUGUGACAGAAAACCUACAACUGUCUUGACAGUAGAAAAAAAAGAAUGAAUCUGCCUCUAAUUAGGCAUCAGUAACAAAACUUAAGCUUAGGAGGUACGUUGUCUAAUUACUUCUCAGUAUAAAUAAAAGAGUUUUGUACAUGAACAUAUUUUAGUGUGCCUUUUAAUCAGUGUGUUUGUAAUCAGAGUGUUUGUAUCCUUAUGAGACAUAGGAGAGAUACGCAUAAUAUCUGAAUAUCUGAAGAACUGUAUAAGAAUUCAAUAUUAUUUAGUGCUGUCACUGCAUCUCCCAGAGAAAACUGGGAGAUUUUGUUUUACUCUACAGUGAAGAAGUAGAGAGGAUGAAAUGUUCAAAAUGCCAUCAGAGAGAAAAGUGACACUAAGAACUAAGGGCCAGUUGUGAUGAAGAUGUUGAUACAAUCAACCGCAAUAUAUGUUUGAGAGAAAAUUAAAUGAUAAACAAAUACAGGGUUUCAGAAUGUUAGUGAAGGAAAAAAGAGCUAACUGUCAAAAAAUUCCCAAUUUUAAUUUCCAAUAAAAAUAGUUUUGAUAUGUUUCGACAUUGGUACAAUGGCACAAUGAGAAUGUCAGAAACAUUACC
ensembl:lncRNA